UACGGGGGGUGCAAGCGUUGUUCGGAAUCAUUGGGCGUAAAGAGCGUGUAGGCGGCGAGAUAAGUCAGAUGUGAAAGCCCUGGGCUCAACUCAGGAAGUGCAUUUGAAACUGUUUCGCUAGAGUAAGGGAGAGGGAAGUGGAAUUCCUGGUGUAGAGGUGAAAUUCGUAGAUAUCAGGAGGAACACCGGUGGCGAAGGCGACUUCCUGGCCCUAUACUGACGCUGAGACGCGAGAGCGUGGGUAGCAAACAGG
rnacentral:rRNA from 1 species